rnacentral:rRNA from 1 species
UACGUAGGGUGCGAGCGUUAAUCGGAAUUACUGGGCGUAAAGCGUGCGCAGGCGGUUUCUUAAGCCAGAUGUGAAAGCCCCGGGCUUAACCUGGGAAUUGCGUUUGGAACUGGGAGACUAGAGUGUGGCAGAGGGAGGUAGAAUUCCACGUGUAGCAGUGAAAUGCGUAGAGAUGUGGAGGAAUACCGAUGGCGAAGGCAGCCUCCUGGGUCAACACUGACGAUCAUGCACGAAAGAGUGGGGAGCAAACAGG